UCUAGCUCUGCCUCCUUCCUGGCUGGACCUUGGACCCACCAUGUACCCUUGUCUUCUGUGCUGCUCCUGGCUGGACCUGGACUGUCCCAUCACUGUGCCUGGGGCUGUCAAUGGACCUGUCUUUCAGCACCCAACUCAGAUGCUGCACACCCUGCUCUGACCUGUCAGAGAAGAACUAUGAACUCUGGAUACAUGAUAAAUUGGUGUUUCAGAGCGAAGUCUGUAAGCGGGACCCAGAAGAAACCUGCAGGCUGCCGUCCCACUGGGUGUCUCUCACCACAUGAACCCUGGUUUCUUUCCUGCACUGUGGGGAGGACGAGGGAAAGAUUUGCAACAACAUCAAAACUGAAAUGCCUUUGGGUGUCCAGGGAAGGAGGCUUCAAGAGCACAUCAGGAACAGAGACCUCUCCUGAGCUACAAAAUCAGAGCGUCUUCCAGCAACAUACUUGACGCCGACAGCAAUUACAUCUGAGAAGUUCUGCCAAUAAUCCUUCGCUCCUCAAAGUGCACUGACUUCGCUGCGAGGCGGGAUGUACUGUCAGGCUGUGCACAGCCCAGAGCAGGAGACAGCUCUUCUGGCAGUCCUCCAGUGCCUCGCUUCCCCAGGUUGAGUUAGUAUUUUCUUACCUUGCAUGUGAAAACUACUUUCUUCAUGCGACGUGCUAUGUUCAGAGACUGCAGCAAUGAACAGCAAGGAAACCUGUUAUGGAAACAAAUGCGUACGUGAGUGUUACAGCAGCUGCUGCCAGGCCUUCUAUCUGUGUCCAGGUUUUGCUGCUACUUCAGGGAAGCAAUGCAGAAGGUCCCCUUAUGCAAUGCAGAGCCGUAGGUUAUGUAAAGCAGAUGCAGUAAAACCUGACACCAAGCAAAGCGUAACUUUGACCCUGUCCCAAAUUGAUUAUUAAACACCACAGUAAUUUUCCUUAUAGCACUGAAGUCUGAAUCAAUCCUAAUACUGACAUCAGUUACCCUAGUGUGACUCUAUUGAUUUAACACAAUUUUACAUCAAUGGGGGCAGAAAAGGGUAAUGAAAUUAGCUGUAGGUGACUUAGUACAGUAUAAAACACACUUAAACACUAAAUAUAAAUGACUAAUUUCAUAUUUGUUAAGCAACCUUCACUCCUUUAUAAAAUAAAAGGAAUUUUGGUGGUAUUUAAUAUGUCUUAAAAGCAGGUUAUUCUUUACUCAGAUGCCCAGCUAUGGCUUUAGUUUGCAGUGAUUAUGGCUAAUACAUCUAAAUCCUGUUAGAGAAAUAGGGUGUUUGGAGUUCAUAAGUAUGAGAAACGAAAUGCUAUCUAAUGCUACAAUACAAAUAUACUGCAUUUGGAACAGCCCCUAAGAUACUGUUUUAUUUUAUUGUGCAGUUUUCUGCUUCAUACCUAAUCUGAAGCAACAAAAAUAUAACGAUGAGCCCUGAUAUCUUUCUGCCUCUAAUUAUCCUCUGCCAAAUUCCUUGUGAUUAUAUUGAUUAAAGUUUUCUUUCAGUUUCGCCUGUAGCUGAAACACAUUUCUCAUUUCUAGAGGUUGAUUUUAUUCUGUCAUUUCAUUGUGUUGUAAGCGUAUAUUUAAUGUUUCUUUAUAAGGAUGAAAGUGAAUUCUAUUACAAUGCAAUCAUUGACAGAGCUAUUGAAAACCGCGUUUUCUCUCAGCAUUUUCCUGACAUUGCUGAAUUUUGGUUCUCUGAACACAAGAGAUAGAGCUUUAUUUGUGAAUUAAUUUUUCACACUUUUUUCAAUGAACAAGAGUGCACAGGCACAUAUAUAUACAAAGUCUAUGAUUUUAAAAAGUCAUGCCCCAAAACUUAAAAUAGUUUUUGAUGGACAACAGACAGAAGCUAUAGGCAGUCAUGAGCUACCUUCUGAUAAAAAUUGAGUUAAAAAUCAAAUCCUUAUUUAGUGAGACGUUAAAGUACUGGCAGAGAGGGCAGAGGAAAAACAGAAAGGUCUUUCCCUAGGUGAAAAGUAGCAAUACCUUGACAGCCUUCACCGUGGAAGCACAAAAGGAUGCUAGCAGUGUCAUUCCUGGCCCUCCUACUCCAGAGAUCUUGAGAGUGUGUUUCCAGCUAUGGCUGUAAUGUUACUAAAUCCUCUGUAAGUAUGGACUAAGGGGAGGACAGCAAACCAAGGGCAAAAACUGGGGAGAAAACACUGCUUCCCCCUGAAAGCCCGCCCUCUGUCCUUCACUGAACAGUUGAGCAUGCUCUUUCUGUUUCAGGCUGACAAACUCCUAUACACAACUAAAUAUGAAGCCCAACUAUGCUGCAGACAGCACGUGUGUCUUAGUGGUGGCAGGGUUCUCUAGUGCAGUUGCCCCCGGCAGAACCACCGCAGCCCCUUCGCCCACUCCCGGCAUCUGCAGAAGCCGUCCUUCCAGAGCGCAGCCAAGCCCGAUGGCAAGCCCUCUGGUUUGCUGAGUCGUCUUGAGUCUCUAUGCUUUACCUUUCAUAAUUUUUGGCUUAAAAUAUUAAAUAAGAAGCGUGUUAAUAAACAUCGGGGAAAUAGGCAAUUCUGGGAAAUUGAAGGGUUGUUAUUUCCAUCUGACUGAGAAAUAUGCUGCAGUCCGGUCCUUCCGGCCGCUGAUCAAGACACCGUAGUUCACAGUUUGUCAUCUCCAAGGCGUAUUGCUGCAGACACCCCCUUCCCACCAGCGAGGGGAACAGAAGGGAUCCCAUCAAUUCUGCAUGCGCACCCUGAUGACCCAUCAACUGCUAAAUCCCUUUUAAGGCCUCCUUACUGAAUCCAUGGAUUCUUCAACAGGCUAUGCCUAAAAUAUCUCCACUUGCUUUUCCAGCAGUUUUCUGCUAUCAGCCAAUAUGACCAUUAAGAAAGGUGAAAAUUUAUUCUUUCAAACAAUUUCUCCUUUAAUUCAUAAGUAUUCUUCAAAAUGAAAAAUGCAGUAAAAUAGAGUAUAUUAAUAAUAGCAUUUUAGGUGCAGCUGUUCAGUCCUUCAUUUCAUAAACUUGCACUUACAGGAAGUUACAGUCCUUGUGUCCAUUUCACCACAUUAAAGUUCAGUUCUUAAAUUCACUAUGUCAACACAUCUCUUGUUCAUUUUCCAGCUUUCUAACAUUUUUAAAUUCCAAACCUGCAUUGUUAGGUGCCUAUUUACAUUUUAAUUCUGAGACCUACAAAAAAAAGUCUUUUUGUUUACAAGUCAACAAUUCUGAUUUUACAUUUCCAGCCAUCGUAUUUUCUCUUAAAAUUAGAGAAAUGCCAUCGGUUAACCAAUAUACAUACAUAUUUCAUAUGCAGAAUAUCUCCAUCUCUAAUAUCAUCUAUGUUUUUCAUUACUGAAAAGCAAAGGAUCUAUAUUUAUUUCAUAAAUAUAAGUAAGCCUUUCUGUGUUUUAUCUAACAUUGUUUAAUUAUACAUAAUGAAGAACUGUAUAUGCCUUAAAUAUUUUUCUAACUCAUGAUGUAAUUGAGUUUACUUUUAAUAAA